GGAUAUCUCAGUUGGCAGAGAAUGAGAUUCUUAAACUCAGGGUCGUGGCUUCAAGCUCCACCUUGAGCA